rnacentral:rRNA from 1 species
GAAGGGGGCGAGCGUUGUUCGGAUUUACUGGGCGUAAAGGGCGCGCAGGCGGCUAUUUUUGUCAGGCGUGAAAGUCCCGGGCUUAACCUGGGAACUGCGCUUGAGACGGGAUGGCUAGAGAUCGGGAGAGGAGAGUGGAAUUCCCAGUGUAGAGGUGAAAUUCGUAGAUAUUGGGAAGAACACCGGUGGCGAAGGCGGCUCUCUGGACCGAUACUGACGCUGAGGCGCGAAAGCGUGGGGAGCAAACAGGAUUAGAUACCCUGGUAGUCCACGCUGUAAACGAUGUGUGCUAGACGUUGGGGAGCCUAGCUCUUCGGUGUCGCAGCUAACGCUUUAAGCACACCGCCUGGGGAGUACGGCCGCAAGGUUA